AGGUCAGGAGCUUGAUUCCUCUGCUGUGUAGAGCCAGCCUGGGUGGCCUUGGGCAAGCUGCACAGUCCCAAGGUGGCCCCAAAAGAAGGGAAUGGCAAACCACUUCUGAGUACUCUUUACUGGAAAACCUUGACGGUGGAUUGCCAGAAGUCAGAUCUCUCCCUCCCUCCCUCUCAAUCUCCCUUCCUCUCCCCCCCCCACAAACACACACACACACACAGACUACAAAUGAUGACCUCCCCAUCUCUGAGAAAUAGUUUAAGAACUUCAAAGAAAUGCAAAGAAUAUCCCUGCCCCAUUUCUCUGUUCUUAAACAGGGUGCAAAAUUUCUAAUAGCUAUGACACCUCUUUUCUUUUCUUCCUUAUUCCAGGUGCUUCCAUACAGUGUGAAGUCUGUUAUUCCGUUGGCAACAGCUGCACUGGGAAUAUGCAGACAUGCCCUUCUGGACAAGAUAUCUGCACUGUUGCAUUUUCAGAAAGUACUCUUGAUGGACAGAGAAUUCUCACCACGGAGAAAGGCUGCGAAAACUCAGAGAUCUGCGCCUCUUCCCCGGUUGACUUGUAUUUGGGGCAGGGAAAAUCCUACAGGGCACAUCUGUAUUGUUGCACUGGAGAUGCCUGUGGAAACAUCUCCCCUGAAUUACCACCCGAGCAGGUGAGACCCAAUGGACUGCAAUGCCCUGCAUGUUACUCAUGGACACAAAUCUGCAGUUCAGAGAUGGUGAAUUGUACAGGCUCGGACACAUACUGCUUUGGUGUCUUGUCCCGUAUCUAUACUAAUGAAUUCCAUGUGGACAGCAUCAUAAAGGGAUGCACGACAAAGUCUGUCUGUAAGUCAUUACUUCAUGGUAAAUCCCCAUUUUUUGGACGUGCUAAUACUGUCAUAAGUGCAAAAUGUUCGCCAGAUGUUUCACGGGGGUGUCGAAUCACCAUCUCCCUCUUGCCUUCCUUCUCCGGGCUUCUGCUGCUACAAGUCCUUUUGUAAAAGACACCUACAAGGAACUGCAUCCACACGACGUUUCAAUUAUACUGGUGUUUUGUCUGUAUACUUCUCCUUCUCAAAGCGGAUGAGUCUUCCAGAUGGAGUUUCCUUGGCUGUUCUCACACUAAAUAAACAUCAGCAUUAAAGUAAAUGAAAUAUGGAU
rnacentral:lncRNA from 1 species